rnacentral:rRNA from 1 species
CCUACGGGAGACAGCAGUGGGGAAUAUUGGACAAUGGGGGGAACCCUGAUCCAGCGACGCCGCGUGAGUGAAGAAGUAUUUCGGUAUGUAAAGCUCUAUCAGCAGGGAAGAAAGAAAUGACGGUACCUGACUACGAAGCCCCGGCUAACUACGUGCCAGCAGCCGCGGUAAUACGUAGGGGGCAAGCGUUAUCCGGAUUUACUGGGUGUAAAGGGAGCGUAGACGGCGAUGCAAGUCUGAAGUGAAAGGCGGGGGCCCAACCCCCGGACUGCUUUGGAAACUGUAUGGCUGGAGUGCAGGAGAGGUAAGUGGAAUUCCUAGUGUAGCGGUGAAAUGCGUAGAUAUUAGGAGGAACACCAGUGGCGAAGGCGGCUUACUGGACUGUAACUGACGUUGAGGCUCGAAAGCGUGGGGAGCAAACAGGAUUAGAUACCCUUGUAGUC